AAUUUGCGUUAGGGAUUGCAGCGGCAUCCUUUUUAUGUUAAUUCGAGUGUUUUAUUUUGAAGUGAUAACGGAAAAAUAAAAUGUAUCGAGAAUACAUAAAAAGAUACAGCGAAAAGCCCGACCUUUA
rnacentral:sRNA from 1 species